CUUCUUGAGAGAAAAGCCAUUUCUUCCUCAUCAUCUUGUUGAAGAUGAUUCUCUUCAUCACAUGUUAUUUCCCUUUUUAAGUUCUCUUCUACUUGUGAUUCUAGAGCAAUCAUUUUGUUCUUGGCUGGUUUCUUUUCUUGAAGUAUUGCUUCAUGAGCUUUUAAAGAUCCAAUGAAAUCUUCCAGAUCCAUUGUUUUGAGAUCUUUUGCUACAGUUAUUGCAGUUACUAU
rnacentral:lncRNA from 1 species